rnacentral:rRNA from 1 species
GACGAACGCUGGCGGCGUGCUUAACACAUGCAAGUCGAACGGAAAGGCCCUGCUUUUGUGGGGUGCUCGAGUGGCGAACGGGUGAGUAACACGUGAGUAACCUGCCCUUGACUUUGGGAUAACUUCAGGAAACUGGGGCUAAUACCGGAUAGGAGCUCCUGCUGCAUGGUGGGGGUUGGAAAGUUUCGGCGGUUGGGGAUGGACUCGCGGCUUAUCAGCUUGUUGGUGGGGUAGUGGCUUACCAAGGCUUUGACGGGUAGCCGGCCUGAGAGGGUGACCGGCCACAUUGGGACUGAGAUACGGCCCAGACUCCUACGGGAGGCAGCAGUGGGGAAUAUUGCACAAUGGGCGGAAGCCUGAUGCAGCAACGCCGCGUGCGGGAUGACGGCCUUCGGGUUGUAAACCGCUUUCGCCUGUGACGAAGCGUGAGUGACGGUAAUGGGUAAAGAAGCACCGGCUAACUACGUGCCAGCAGCCGCGGUGAUACGUAGGGUGCGAGCGUUGUCCGGAUUUAUUGGGCGUAAAGGGCUUGUAGGUGGUUGAUCGCGUCGGAAGUGUAAUCUUGGGGCUUAACCCUGAGCGUGCUUUCGAUACGGGUUGACUUGAGGAAGGUAGGGGAGAAUGGAAUUCCUGGUGGAGCGGUGGAAUGCGCAGAUAUCAGGAGGAACACCAGUGGCGAAGGCGGUUCUCUGGGCCUUUCCUGACGCUGAGGAGCGAAAGCGUGGGGAGCGAACAGGCUUAGAUACCCUGGUAGUCCACGCUGUAAACGGUGGGUACUAGGUGUGGGGUCCAUUCCACGGGUUCCGUGCUGUAGCUAACGCUUUAAGUACCCCGCCUGGGGAGUACGGCCGCAAGGCUAAAACUCAAAGGAAUUGACGGGGCCCCGCACAAGCGGCGGAGCAUGCGGAUUAAUUCGAUGCAACGCGUAGAACCUUACCUGGGUUUGACAUGGAUCGGGAGUGCUCAGAGAUGGGUGUGCCUCUUUUGGGGUCGGUUCACAGGUGGUGCAUGGCUGUCGUCAGCUCGUGUCGUGAGAUGUUGGGUUAAGUCCCGCAACGAGCGCAACCCUUGUUCACUGUUGCCAGCACGUUAUGGUGGGGACUCAGUGGAGACCGCCGGGGUCAACUCGGAGGAAGGUGGGGAUGACGUCAAGUCAUCAUGCCCCUUAUGUCCAGGGCUUCACGCAUGCUACAAUGGCUGGUACAGAGAGUGGCGAGCCUGUGAGGGUGAGCGAAUCUCGGAAAGCCGGUCUCGGUUCGGAUUGGGGUCUGCAACUCGACCUCAUGAAGUCGGAGUCGCUAGUAAUCGCAGAUCAGCAACGCUGCGGUGAAUACGUUCCCGGGGCU